rnacentral:rRNA from 1 species
GACGAACGCUGGCGGCGUGCUUAACACAUGCAAGUCGAACGGAAAGGCCCUGCUUUUGUGGGGUGCUCGAGUGGCGAACGGGUGAGUAACACGUGAGUAACCUGCCCUUGACUUUGGGAUAACUUCAGGAAACUGGGGCUAUUACCGGAUAGGAGCUCUUGCUGCAUGGUGGGGGUUGGAAAGUUUCGGCGGUUGGGGAUGGACUCGCGGCUUAUCAGCUUGUUGGUGGGGUAGUGGCUUACCAAGGCUUUGACGGGUAGCCGGCCUGAGAGGGUGACCGGCCACAUUGGGACUGAGAUACGGCCCAGACUCCUACGGGAGGCAGCAGUGGGGAAUAUUGCACAAUGGGCGGAAGCCUGAUGCAGCAACGCCGCGUGCGGGAUGACGGCCUUCGGGUUGUAAACCGCUUUCGCCUGUGACGAAGCGUGAGUGACGGUAAUGGGUAAAGAAGCACCGGCUAACUACGUG